AUGCUCCCCGUCAGCCUCGGGCUUGCCAAGCAUGUCCAUCGAGUUCGUCGUCAUCGACUAUGUCAUCUGCUUCCUCUACUUCCACGCGAGACGCCAAGUUCGACACCGCCCCUUCGUCCACCUCCGCCUUGGCCACUGCUUGUCUCCGACGAAUUCCGCUGCCUCCCGUCUUCCCCGAGCCCGUUCGACUCCACCGACGACCCCUACCCAGGAGAUGAGUUCAUGAACGAGGAUCCUGUCGAGAACGUUUACGAGGAGCAAGCUUUCGACGACUCUGAGAACUUUGCAGUUGCAGGUGCCGAUGAUACCAGUGCAAGUGAUGCUACCGAACUCAAGUGGGAGUUCGACAAGGACCUUGGCCGUUAA
rnacentral:rRNA from 1 species